rnacentral:rRNA from 1 species
AGUGAACGCUGGCGGUAGGCCUAACACAUGCAAGUCGAACGGCAGCACAGUAAGAGCUUGCUCUUACGGGUGGCGAGUGGCGGACGGGUGAGGAAUACAUCGGAAUCUACUUUUUCGUGGGGGAUAACGUAGGGAAACUUACGCUAAUACCGCAUACGACCUACGGGUGAAAGCAGGGGAUCUUCGGACCUUGCGCGAUUGCAUGAGCCGAUGUCGGAUUAGCUAGUUGGCGGGGUAAAGGCCCACCAAGGCGACGAUCCGUAGCUGGUCUGAGAGGAUGAUCAGCCACACUGGAACUGAGACACGGUCCAGACUCCUACGGGAGGCAGCAGUGGGGAAUAUUGGACAAUGGGGGCAAGCCUGAUCCAGCCAUACCGCGUGGGUGAAGAAGGCCUUCGGGUUGUAAAGCCCUUUUGUUGGGAAAGAAAAGCAGCAGGUUAAUACCCCGCUGUUCUGACGGUACCCAAAGAAUAAGCACCGGCUAACUUCGUG